UACGCGUCCAGGCCCUAUCCACUCGUGCCGUGAGGUGUUAGGUUAAGUCCUGCAACGAGCGCAACCCCUGUCACUAGUUGCCAUCAUUAAGUUGGGGACUCUAGUGAGACUGCCUACGCAAGUAGAGAGGAAGGUGGGGAUGACGUCAAAUCAUCACGGCCCUUACGCCUUGGGCCACACACGUAAUACAAUGGCCGGUACAGAGGGCAGCUACACAGCGAUGUGAUGCAAAUCUCGAAAGCCGGUCUCAGUUCGGAUUGGAGUCUGCAACUCGACUCUAUGAAGCUGGAAUCGCUAGUAAUCGCGCAUCAGCCAUGGCGCGGUGAAUACGUUCCCGGGCCUUGUACACACCGCCCGUCAAGCCAUGGAAGUCUGGGGUACCUGAAGUCGGUGACCGUAACAGGAGCUCCUCUGUUAC
rnacentral:rRNA from 1 species